AACGAACGCUGGCGGCAGGCCUAACACAUGCAAGUCGAACGGAUCCUUCGGGAUUAGUGGCGGACGGGUGGGUAACGCGUGGGAACAUACCCUUUGGUACGGAAUAGCCUCGGGAAACUGGGAGUAAUACCGUAUGUGGUCGAGAGACGAAAGAUUUAUCGCCAAAGGAUUGGCCCGCGUUGGAUUAGGUAGUUGGUGGGGUAAUGGCCUACCAAGCCGACGAUCCAUAGCUGGUUUGAGAGGAUGAUCAGCCACACUGGGACUGAGACACGGCCCAGACUCCUACGGGAGGCAGCAGUGGGGAAUCUUAGACAAUGGGGGAAACCCUGAUCUAGCCAUGCCGCGUGAUCGAUGAAGGCCUUAGGGUUGUAAAGAUCUUUCAGGUGGGAAGAUAAUGACUGUACCACCAGAAGAAGCCCCGGCUAACUCCGUGCCAGCAGCCGCGGUAA
rnacentral:rRNA from 1 species